rnacentral:tRNA from 1 species
CGGGGAUUGGCGCAGUUGGUAGCGCGCUACUAUGGGGUAGUAGAGGCCGCCGGUUCGAGUCCGGCAUCCCCGACCA